AUGCUUUACACAUGCAAGUCGAACGGCAGCAUAGAGAGCUUGCUCUCUGAUGGCGAGUGGCGAACGGGUGAGUAAUAUAUCGGAACGUGCCUAGUAAUGGGGAAUAACUAGCUGAAAGGUUAGCUAAUGCCGCAUACGACCUACGGGUGAAAGCAGGGGAUCUUCGGACCUUGCGUUAUUAGAGCGGCCGAUAUCUGAUUAGCUUGUUGGUGGGGUAAUGGCCUACCAAGGCGACGAUCAGUAGCUGGUCUGAGAGGACGAUCAGCCACACUGGAACUGAGACACGGUCCAGACUCCUACGGGAGGCAGCAGUGGGGAAUUUUGGACAAUGGGGGCAACCCUGAUCCAGCCAUUCCGCGUGAGUGAAGAAGGCCUUCGGGUUGUAAAGCUCUUUCGCAAGAGAAGAAAACUUGCUAUCUAAUAAAUAGUAAGCAUGACGGUAUCUUGACAA
rnacentral:rRNA from 1 species